rnacentral:rRNA from 1 species
GCGAGUCUGAAUAGGGCGCAUAAGUAACAGGUCGUAGACCCGAAACCAGGUGAUCUACCCAUGUCCAGGAUGAAGGUAAGGUAAUACUUACUGGAGGUCCGAACCCACGCACGUUGAAAAGUGCGGGGAUGAGGUGUGGGUAGCGGAGAAAUUCCAAUCGAACUUGGAGAUAGCUGGUUCUCUCCGAAAUAGCUUUAGGGCUAGCCUCGAGGUAAAGAGUCAUGGAGGUAGAGCACUGUUUGGACUAGGGGCCCUUCUCGGGUUACCGAAUUCAGAUAAACUCCGAAUGCCAUGUACUUAUACUCGGGAGUCAGACUGCGAGUGAUAAGAUCCGUAGUCGAAAGGGAAACAGCCCAGACCACCAGUUAAGGUCCCCAAAUAUAUGUUAAGUGGAAAAGGAUGUGGGGUUGCUUAGACAACCAGGAUGUUGGCUUAGAAGCAGCCACCAUUGAAAGAGUGCGUAAUAGCUCACUGGUCGAGUGACCCCGCGCCGAAAAUGUACCGGGGCUAAACAUAUUACCGAAACUGUGGAUGAACCUCUUCGGAGGUUCGUGGUAGGAGAGCGUUCUAAGGGCGGUGAAGUCAGACCGGAAGGACUGGUGGAGCGCUUAGAAGUGAGAAUGCCGGUAUGAGUAGCGAAAGAAGGGUGAGAAUCCCUUCCACCGAAUAUCUAAGGUUUCCUGAGGAAGGCUCGUCCGCUCAGGGUUAGUCGGGACCUAAGCCGAGGCCGAUAGGCGUAGGCGAUGGACAACAGGUAGAGAUUCCUGUACCAGUGCUAAUUGUUUAACCGAUGGGGUGACACAGAAGGAUAGGGAAUCGCACGAAUGGAAAUGUGCGUCCAAGCAGUGAGUGUGAGAAGUAGGCAAAUCCGCUUCUCGCGAAGCAUGAGCUGUGAUGGGGAAGGAAAUUAAGUACGGAAGUUCCUGAUUUCACGCUGUCAAGAAAAGCCUCUAGGA